AUGGCGCUCCGGCAACUCUACAUCUGCGUCCUGUUGGUAUUUCUUCUCCUGGUGGUCGCUUUUGCUGGCCGCCCAAGCACGCCACAGCAGACGUCCAUGGCCUUGGCCCGCGACGACUGCUACAAGACUGUGACGAGUGUGCCGAAGUGGUGCUCGGGGCAAUUCAUCCAGGCGCUCUUCACCGGCAACAAGAACAUCAUCACCGAAUACUGUUGCGCACAGCUCACCUGCGUCGGCGAGGCAACGUGUGCCUCCGCGCUCCACGGCGUCUGCCCACCCCCCAAGACUAAUCUGCCAUGCCCCCCGCACCAGGGCGGUGGUAUCUAUGAUAGACAUACGUAG
rnacentral:rRNA from 1 species